GACGAACGCUGGCGGCGUGCUUAACACAUGCAAGUCGAACGAUGAAACCUAGCUUGCUAGGUCGAUUAGUGGCGAACGGGUGAGUAACACGUGACUAACCUGCCCCUUUCUCUGGGAUAACGCUCCGCAAGGAGUGCUAAUACCGGAUACUCACACCGAGGCACAGGCCUUGGUGUGGCAAGUUUUUCGGAAAGGGAUGGAGUCGCGGCCUAUCAGCUUGUUGGUGAGGUAACGGCUCACCAAGGCGACGACGGGUAGCCGGCCUGAGAGGGCGACCGGCCACACUGGGACUGAGACACGGCCCAGACUCCUACGGGAGGCAGCAGUGGGGAAUAUUGCACAAUGGGCGCAAGCCUGAUGCAGCGACGCCGCGUGAGGGAUGAAGGUCUUCGGAUUGUAAACCUCUUUCAGUAGGGACGAAGCGAAAGUGACGGUACCUAAAGAAGAAGCACCGGCUAACUACGUGCCAGCCGCCGCGGUAA
rnacentral:rRNA from 1 species